rnacentral:rRNA from 1 species
UACAGAGGGGGCAAGCGUUGUUCGGAAUUACUGGGCGUAAAGGGCGCGUAGGCGGCCCGCUAAGUCGAACGUGAAAUCCCCGAGCUCAACUCGGGAACUGCGUCCGAUACUGGCGGGCUUGAAUCCGGGAGAGGGAUGCGGAAUUCCAGGUGUAGCGGUGAAAUGCGUAGAUAUCAGGAGGAACACCAAUUGCGAAGGCAGCUCGCUGGGACGUCACUGACGCUGAGACGCGAAAGCGUGGGGAGCAAACAGG